ACUCCUACGGGAGGCAGCAGUGGGAAUCUUGGACAAUGGGCGCAAGCCUGAUCCAGCCAUGCCGCGUGAGUGACGAAGGCCUUAGGGUUGUAAAGCUCUUUUAGCAGGGAAGAUAAUGACGGUACCUGCAGAAUAAGCCCGCGUACAUCCGUGCCAGCAGCCGCGGUAAUACGGAGGGUGCAAGCGUUAAUCGGAAUUACUGGGCGUAAAGCGUGCGUAGCGGCUUGAUAAGCCGGUUGUGAAAGCCCCGGGCUCAACCUGGGAACGGCAUCCGGAACUGUCAGGCUAGAGUGCAGGAGAGGAAGGUAGAAUUCCGGUGUAGCGGUGAAAUGCGUAGAGAUCGGGAGGAAUACCAGUGGCGAAGGCGGCCUUCUGGACUGACACUGACGCUGAGGUACGAAAGCGUGGGUAGCAAACAGGAUUAGAUACCCUGGUAGGCUCUGC
rnacentral:rRNA from 1 species